GCCGCGGCCCGGCCCUCGCCCGGGAGUGCGUGUGUGCGCGCGUGUGCGCGAGUGUGUGUGCGCGAGUGAGUGUGUGCGCGGGGUGCGCGCGCGGGCGGGAGUGGGCGCGCGCGGGGAAAGGCCCGAAAACACCUUAGUUUGCACCGAGAGACCAUUUGCAGCGGAACCCGAAAGUUUGCAAGAGGAAGAGAGCGCGCGGCGAGCGAGCGGGCAAGGGGCAGCGGCAGCGGCGCCGGGGACCAUGGUGCUGCCGGCGCCUCCUCCGCGGGCGUGAAGGCGGCGCUCCCACUCCCUCUCCGGACUCCGCGGUGUCCCAGGAGCUUCUGCUGACAAUUCCAGUUUCCGAACGAAACGUUUCGGCAAUGGUGAGGGCUUCAGUCCCUUCUCUGAUUCGCUGUCAGCCAUGAACGGGUGGAUGUGAUGUCUGCAAGCCCAAAGGGUGAG